rnacentral:lncRNA from 1 species
AAGGAACAUUGUUGUUUGGGUCCAAUGAGAUUUUAAAAAUUACAAAAGGAUGUUUUAAUAAUGUACAUAAUAUUUAAGGGUUGAUCACAAUGGUGAAUAAAUGCCAGCAAACACCAACGUGGCUGUUGGAACUAAAAUGUUGGGAAAUGUAGACUAACUGUCUUGUUCACACUGCACCAAAAACACCAACGUGGUUAACAGCCAUUGGAAUUUUGUGUUUGUUGAGGCAGCGUAAACUAGCUUUAGCUGAAGCCACUGUUUAAUUCCUCUAUUGUUGUUUUUAACAGUGGUUGCUUCCUGCAACCAAUCACAGCGCACUUUCUGUCUCUUGUCUUCUUAUGUUUAACUUUUCAUCUCAUCACAUAGAGCCUCGGGAUGAUGACACACACAGCAUGCCUGAAGUUCACACUGGUUCUCUAUAUAGCCAGGAAGAUGAGCAGUCUGAGAGGGUCGAUAGACGCCACUUCAGCCUGAUGAGAAAAGGCAGACGGCUACUCCCUGUUGAUCCUCUUGAUUUUAAUCUUGGCGUUGAGAACUCUGCUUAUUCUCGACCUCCCUUACUUCUGUAUUCAGGUAGCCAAGAAAAAGUUCCCCAGAGUAAGGACUCAGUAACCGAAGACGACUGGUACACAACCUUUAAGCAGAUCCUAGAGAAUGGAACUCACGAUAAAGGUGAUGAGAUGAAGGACAUGUUGCAAAUCAGCCAGAGAAGUCUGGACAAACCCUCUCAUUUUGGUAAGAUGUGC